CUCAGGCCAGAGAGAAGGAGCUGGGGAUGCUUCUCCAAGAGUCCCCUCCUGCCAGCCAGGCGUGGCCCCACCCACUUAAGCAGCUUCUUCCAAACCCUGGCUAAUUUCUCCUCCCAUCACUCUGCCUGCUCUGCAAGCCUCAUUAUCCCCAUUUUGUUAAGUAGCUGGGCCUGGAGUCCCCACACAGGUUAAGAACCACCCAGGGGGGAAUGUUAUGUUGCUGAUGGGAGGGCCAAGAGUGCCACUCCACUCCCGAUUUCCUCUGCCAAUCCCAGGGUGCCAGCUGCUCACGGUUCAACCCCAGGUACUCCCCCACAUGCCUGGUACAGUGCUAAGUUGGACAGGACAUGCAAAAGGAAGAGGAGCCCCCAGCAGGUAAAAUCCUGCUGCCCACCAUAUCUGUCCACUCAACAAGUGAGCACCUGGUUCCAUGUGCAAGAUGAAGUUCUACGGGCUUGGGAUUUAUCUGCGAACCAAACAAAGGAAGAUUCCCCUGCAAAGAGCUUAGGAUCUAGCUUCUUCCAGUGAGACAGUUAGGAAUCUGUCACUCAUACCGGAAAGCAUGAACUCUGCUCUACUGAGCAGGGCAAAUGCUCUGGUUCUACAGAGCCCUGCAGAGCUGUGACCCCAAUGCCUCUCUCAGGCAGAGGUGACACAAGGAGACGGCUGUGGGCCAAAGCAGAAAGCAACACAAAGGGAAAGCCCACCCAUUCAGUUAUCAGACGUUGACUGCACACCUACUAACUGCCCGGUGCUACACUAGGAGCUUAGAAGAUCUCAAGGGGAAUAAGACCUGGGUCAGCUCUCACGGGACACCUGGGGGCAAAAUCAAAGCUACUUUUGGAGGAGCAGGGAGAAGCUACCCCAAGGAGGGAUACUGCCUGGACUUCAGGUCACCCCAUGAAGGAAAGAGCCACUGUCCUGGUUGGGUCCAAGUCAGAGUCCCACAAUGCUCCCUUUAGCCCUGGAGGUCUGUUGCUGUGAUGUUUUGAACAGCAAAGAGAGGACAAUCAUCACAGCACCAGAGAGGACAAUCCCAUGCCUGUCACACAGAGGGAAGUCCACAGCCCGGCUGAGGUCAUGAGGCCAUUUGGCCAAGGCCCUGAAUACUUCCUGCUCCUAAACCUGUCUUGUCUUGAGCCCAGCAGAAUUGCCAAGAAAGCCUUAUGGCCCUGCUGCAGGCCUGGGUUUAGGGCUCACCACUGAAAGGGCCACCAGGGCUCCCCUUAAGGCCCAGGAAGCCCCCUAGAUCCCUCGCUAAUGAGAGGCAGAAAAGAAGGAGGCUGGCCUUGACCCAGUUCAAGCCCUCCUUCCCCCUUGGCUGCUUCUGGACAACUUUUGGCCUCCUGACUGACCUAGAAGUCUCUCCCCUGACUGGUGAGGUGUGGGGCAACUUGUGGGAGCUGUCAACAUAGGAAGUGUUCAGGGGCGGUGAGAUCAACAUGGUUCCAGCUUGAGUGUGUCAGCAGCACCAUGUACCCACCCACAAGCCACACACACCCUCCCCUCCCCACCUCCUCAGAGUCGCCGCCACAGGGCACAGAGGGAACCUCCCAAGAGGAGGCCUAUGAGGCACCAGGCCGGCUCCGGAGGCAGGCUCCUCCCUAGCAGGGAGGCUGGGGGAGGCUGGGGACGGCCGGAGUAAGCUUCAGAGCAAAGCCCUGAGGGCUGGCAACCUGAACAGCCAAAGUUCUAGGCUGCCACUGCCCAGGCUUCCUUAAAGCUGCUGGGAGAUGUGUGAAUUCCCAACUGAUGUGGGAUACAAUGCUCCUUGUUCUCUCCCUCCCUCUCAAAAAAGGAAGGAAACUCUCCAGACAGAUUGUAUGAGGCACGCCUAGGUGGUGUGGUGGGAAAACCACAGGGCCAAAGGUCAGGAGAAGUGGGUUCCAGUGCUGGCUCUGCUACUAAUUCACUGUGAGACUCUAACAGGGCCCUUCACCUUUCUGGGUCUCCGUUUCCUUGUCUGUAAAAUGGGUAUAAAGGGAAAAUGAGAAAAGAUGGUCUCCAAAGUCCCUCUGGAUACAAAUUUCUAAAUUUGGUGUGAGGUAGGCCCAGAAGAGAAUGGAGAGCGUGGCCGGGCGCGGUGGCUCACGCCUGUAAUCCCAACACUUUGAGAAGCUGAGGCGGGUGGAUCACCUGAGGUCAGGAGUUCGAGACCAGCCUAGCCAACAUGGCAAAAUUCCAUCUCUACUAAAAGUACAAAAAAAAUUAGCCAGGCAUGGUGGUGCAUGCCUGUAAUCCCAGCUACUCAGGAGGCUGAGGCAGGAGAAUUGCUUGAACCGCGGAGGUGGAGGAGGUUGUAGUGAGCCGAGAUCGUGCCACUGCAUUCUAGCCUGAGUGAUAGAGCAGGACUCCAUCUCAAAAAGAAAAAAAAAAAAAAAAAAAAAAAGGGAAUGGAGAGCAUUCAGCACAUCCUCAGGCUUUGUGGUCCUGCUAGCCCCAAAGAGUACCUGGCAAGCCUGGCUCUCACUCAGGAUCACUUAUAUCCCAGAAGAGUCCAGCUCAUCAGUGAGUAUAAGGCUUUGCACCUUGGAUUCCGUGAAGGAAGCCUAUUUAUAAAAGUCCUUACAAGCAUGGCUACUGCAAUAUUUACAACUGCAAUUAUAGAAAGCAACUGUGAGGAGGAUACUGGCCACUUGCUCCAGCAGCAGAGGCCCAACAUGCAGCUGUGAAUCCAUUAUAGUGUCUAGCAGACACACCUCCCCAAGUGGCUCUGCACCGUGGUUCUGCCAUUAACAGAACAAACCAACAAGUAGUGGAUACAAGACCCAGCUUUGUCCUCGCAGGAGCAGAGCUCCUGAGAAAGCUUCCAGUUUC
rnacentral:lncRNA from 10 species